GAACGAACGCUGGCGGCGUGGUUAAGGCAUGCAAGUCGAGCGGACUCGCCGAAAGGCGGGUUAGCGGCGAACGGGUGAGGAAUACAUGGAUAACGUACCCCAGACACGGGGAUAACGGCGCCUUUGGCCGAUAGGCCAAGGGCUAGCGAAAGCGCCGGUAAUACCCGAUGACCCCGUAGGAUCGCAUGAUCCCGCGGGCAAAACUUCGGCGGUCUGGGAGCGGUUCAUGUCCUAUCAGCUAGUUGGUGAGGUAACGGCUCACCAAGGCAACGACGGGUAUGGGGCGUGAGAGCGUGACCCCACACAUCGGGACUGAGACACGGCCCGGACACCUACGGGUGGCUGCAGCAACGAAUAUUCCGCAAUGGGCGAAAGCCUGACGGAGCGACGCCGCGUGCAGGAAGAAGUCCUUCGGGAUGUAAACUGCUGUCAGGGGUGAGGAAUUUUGACCAGCCCCAAAGGAAGUACUGGCUAACUCCGUGCCAGCAGCCGCGGUAAGACGGAGAGUACAAGCGUUGUUCGGAAUCAUUGGGCUUAAAGCGCGUGCAGGCGGGGCGCUAGGUGUUGGGUGAAAUCCCCGGGCUCAACCCGGGAAUGGCUCAGCAAACCGGCGCUCUUGAGGCAGGUAGAGGUGACUGGAACGACCGGUGGAGCGGUGAAAUGCGUAGAUAUCGGUUGGAACGCGGGAGGCGAAAGCGGGUCACUGGGCCUGCCCUGACGCUGAGACGCGAAAGCGUGGGGAGCGAAGAGGAUUAGAUACCCUCGUAGUCCACGCCGUAAACGAUGCGCACUAGGUAUGGAAGGUUCUGACACCGACCGUGCCGAAACAAAAGCGAUAAGUGCGCCGCCUGGGGAGUACGGCCGCAAGGCUAAAACUCAAAGGAAUUGACGGGGGCUCACACAAGCGGUGGAGCAUGUGGAUCAAUUCGAAGCAACGCGAAGAACCUUACCUGGGUUUGACAUGCACGGAUGCGUCUGCUGAAAGGCGGAUCCGCUGCCUUCGGGUGAAACGUGCACAGGUGCUGCAUGGCUGUCGUCAGCUCGUGCUGUGAAGUGUCGGGUUAAGUCCCACAACGAGCGAAACCCCUAUCGUUAGUUGCCAGCGGGUCAUGCCGGGGACUCUAGCGAGACUGCCGGCGUCAAGCCGGAGGAAGGUGGGGAUGACGUCAAGUCAUCAUGGCCUUUAUGCCCAGGGUUUCACACGUGCUACAAUGGGCGCCACAGAGCGACGCGAGACCGCGAGGUGGAGCAAAUCGCACAAAAGCGCCCUCAGUUCAGAUUGGAGUCUGCAACCCGACUCCAUGAAGCUGGAAUCGCUAGUAAUCGCGGAUCAGCCACGCCGCGGUGAAUGUGUUCCUGAGCCUUGUACACACCGC
rnacentral:rRNA from 1 species